AACGAACGCUGGUGGCAGGCUUAACACAUGCAAGUCGAGCGCCCCGCAAGGGGAGCGGCAGACGGGUGAGUAACGCGUGGGAAUCUACCCAAUACUACGGAAUAGCUCCGGGAAACUGGAAUUAAUACCGUAUGUGCCCGACAGGGGAAAGAUUUAUCGGUAUUGGAUGAGCCCGCGUUGGAUUAGCUAGUUGGUGGGGUAGUGGCCUACCAAGGCGACGAUCCAUAGCUGGUCUGAGAGGAUGAUCAGCCACACUGGGACUGAGACACGGCCCAGACUCCUACGGGAGGCAGCAGUGGGGAAUAUUGGACAAUGGGCGAAAGCCUGAUCCAGCCAUGCCGCGUGAGUGAUGAAGGCCUUAGGGUUGUAAAGCUCUUUCAGUGGGGAAGAUAAUGACGGUACCCACAGAAGAAGCCCCUGCUAACUUCGUGCCAGCAGCCGCGGUAAUACGAAGGGGGCUAGCGUUGUUCGGAUUUACUGGGCGUAAAGCGCACGUAGGC
rnacentral:rRNA from 1 species